AGCGAACGCUGGCGGCAGGCCUAACACAUGCAAGUCGAACGAAGUCUUCGGACUUAGUGGCGGACAGGUGAGUAACACGUGGGAACGUACCUUUUGGUUCGGAACAACUCAGGGAAACUUGAGCUAAUACCGGAUGAGCCCUUAGGGGGAAAGAUUUAUCGCCGAAAGAGCGGCCCGCGUUAGAUUAGCUAGUUGGUGAGGUAAAGGCUCACCAAGGCUAUGAUCUAUAGCUGGUCUGAAAGGAUGAUCAGCCACACUGGGACUGAGACACGGCCCAGACUCCUACGGGAGGCAGCAGUGGGGAAUCUUGCGCAAUGGGCGAAAGCCUGACGCAGCCAUGCCGCGUGAAUGAUGAAGGUCUUAGGAUUGUAAAAUUCUUUUACCAGGGACGAUAUUGACGGUACCUGGAGAAAAAGCCCCGGCUAACUUCNUGCCAGCCGCCGCCGUAAGAC
rnacentral:rRNA from 1 species